CAUGAGAUAUCUGUUAACUUCUGGUGGAACCAGUCUUGCAAACUGAUGCUUAGAAAAUUAUGCAAUCAAGUUUCUUUUUCUUUUUUCUUUCUUUCUUUCUUUUUUUUUUUUUUUUUUUUUUUGGUUUUUUUGUUUUGUUUUGUUUUGUUUUGUUUUGUUUUGUUUUUGGCAAGGAAUUGAAUCAUUAGCCACCGUCCUGGACUUUUGCAGUACUUAUGUUUCUGGGCAUCCGACAGAGAAGGAGAACCAGGAGGUACUGCCCAUAAACUCUUGGUUCCAGAACAGGUCAAACGAGAUGUUAAUGGAAGAAAUGGGAUUUGAACCUAGACGGACGAACUGACUUCAGCACCCAAGGUCCUCCAUUUCCUACUCUACCCCAGGAGAGCACUUAAAUUCUCACUAGCAGAUUAACCUCCAAGGCAAGUUGACAGAGUAAUGGAUACGGCUUGAGAAGGGACCUUCUCCUAAAGGGAAAAUCGGAAACAUCCAGGUAAAGAAAAUGACAGCCACCCUUUAGCAACCUUAUGUACCAGAACUGCUGCUGGUGGCUCCGGCGCCUUUAUCCAGGACGAGGAAUCAAAAGAGAAGAGCAGAAAGGCAGGUGUUCUUCCGGUACGUCUGGAAAGGGUGGAGGGGCACCCUUCAACUUCAGUCUUGUCUGUUCCUAUGGCCAUGUCACCUUCUGUAACACCUAGCACAGAAUGGGUAGUCAACGAAGACUCCGCGCAUGCCAAAUGAGGGCUGGCCAGAAAUACUCCUCUACACAGGGGAAAGAGUCCGUCGGUACAUAUCUCCCUCAUGCGCAGUAAACUUACGAGGGAGUUUAUUGGCAUGUGUUCUUCGAAGCGUUCACUGGCUGUUACUACUUCACCAGGUUUUAGUGUUCCUGCCUGUUUUUAAGUGGCCUGUGUACACCUAAUUCCUUCCCUUGCCUCCCUAUUUUCUUGCUCUGCUCUUCAACAUGAACCACCAUGCUGUUUGCACCACCAAGCCCACGAACAUUUCCAUUCGAAAACAUGACUGUUGCAUGUCCCUCCCCUUCACAAUUCUUAUUUAUUUAUUUAGCCUCUUCCUUCUUCAGAUCUAUGGAAGACUCACAUUAUCCAAGACCUAUUAUUUUAUUAAAAAUAUUUUUCACAUUAUGUAUUUUUGAUCAUGUUUCCCCCUCACCCCACCCACACCAUGUCCUCUCUCUCUCUCUCUCUCCCUCUCUCUCUGUGUCAAAAAAAAGAAAGGAGGGGAGGAAUAAAUCUAUCUGGAGUUCACUGUG